CCUACCAUGCAAGUCGAGCGGUAGCACAGAGAGCUUGCUCUCGGGUGACGAGCGGCGGACGGGUGAGUAAUGUCUGGGAAACUGCCUGAUGGAGGGGGAUAACUACUGGAAACGGUAGCUAAUACCGCAUAACGUCGCAUGACCAAAGUGGGGGACCUUCGGGCCUCAUGCCAUCAGAUGUGCCCAGAUGGGAUUAGCUAGUAGGUGGGGUAACGGCUCACCUAGGCGACGAUCCCUAGCUGGUCUGAGAGGAUGACCAGCCACACUGGAACUGAGACACGGUCCAGACUCCUACGGGAGGCAGCAGUGGGGAAUAUUGCACAAUGGGCGCAAGCCUGAUGCAGCCAUGCCGCGUGUGUGAAGAAGGCCUUCGGGUUGUAACGCACUUUCAGCGGGGAGGAAGGCGAUGAGGUUAAUAACCUUGUCGAUUGACGUUACCCGCAGAAGAGCCACCGGCUAACUCCGUGCCAGCAGCCGCGGUAAUA
rnacentral:rRNA from 1 species